rnacentral:rRNA from 1 species
AGCAGCCGCGGUAAUUCCAGCUCCAAUAGCGUAUAUUAAAGUUGUUGCAGUUAAAAAGCUCGUAGUUGAAUUUCGGGGUUUAUCCGUUGGUCGGGCUUUUUGGUCUGUACUGGCGUGAUGGAUUCCUACCUUCUGAAUAACCGGCAUGCCAUUAAUUUGGUGCGCCGGGGAAGCAGGACUGUUACCUUGAAAAAAUUAGAGUGCUUAAAGCAGGUUUAUGCCUGAAUACAUUAGCAUGGAAUAAUGAAAUAGGACGGCAUGGUUCUAUUUUGUUGGUUUCUAGGAUCACCGUAAUGAUUAAUAGGGAUAGUUGGGGGCAUUAGUAUUCAAUUGUCAGAGGUGAAAUUCUUGGAUUUAUUGAAGACUAACUUCUGCGAAAGCAUUUGCCAAGGAUGUUUUCAUUAAUCAAGAACGAAAGUUAGGGGAUCGAAGACGAUC